GCCCAGCCAUGUGGGGACCCAGGGGUUGUGUCCACCAUGGCUUGGACUUCUCUCCUCCUCAUGCUCCUCUCUCACUAUGCAGGUUCCCUGUCCCAGCCUGUGCUGACCCAGCCGUCCUCCCUCUCUGUACCUCCUGGAGCAUCUGCCAAACUCACCUGCACCCUGAGCAGUGACGUCAGUGUCAGUGACUUUCACUUACGCUGGUUCCAGCAGAAGUCAGGGAGCCCUCCCCGCUAUCUCCUGCGGUACAAGUCAGACUCAGACAAGUACCAGGGCUCCGGGGUCCCCAGCCGCUUCUCUGGAUCCAAGGACCCCUCGGCCAAUGCAGGAGUUCUGCACAUCUCUGGGCUGCAGCCUGCCCUGUCUGCUCUGGUGUGGGCCCACAUCCUGCUCACAGGUGUGGAGGAUGAGACUCUGCCCAGCAGCUGCUUCCCCCUGCCAAGCUCUGCCUUCAGCUGGACUGACAGUGCAGCAGAGAUCACCACCAGGGGGAGUAAACCUGCGUGGACGCCCCACCCCUUCCUGCCAGUGGGGAAGAUAAGAGGCCUGGGGUAG